GCUACCCUAUAAGUAGGCCCCGGCGGGCGCUGUUGGUCUCUCUCUCUCUCUCUCGGCCGUCGACGCCAUCUUGUGGGCGCCCGGUGGCCGCCUCCAUCCGCCUCCAUCCGCCGCCCGCCCGCGGGGACUGAGCGCGGCGUCCCCGCGCCGCCAUGAGGGCCAAGUGGCGAAAGAAGCGAAUGCGCAGGCUGAAGCGCAAGAGGAGGAAGAUGAGGCAGAGGUCCAAGUAGGCGCCGCGCGGAGCAGGGGGGCGCGGGGCAGCGCAGCCCCCGGUGCCCCCAGCGCGGCCCCCCAGCCCCGGCUGCCUGGGCUGCCUCCCGCCCCCGUAGCUGCCUGCGGCCCCCCCUGUAUAAAUAAAGCCUGGUUUGGUGGCA